GUCGCAGCCGAGCUGAAGUCAGAUGUUCGAGGUCCGAGUGAGAGGAUUAAAAGAUGUCGCCUGACUUUACUCGACCAAUCACUGAACUGAACCGUGUUAUAAUCGUCCAACUACGAACGAAGAGGCGGAAGUGUCGUCGGGAGGCUCCAAGGAGAUGAACCGUUUAACAUUCAGGUGCAAUUCUGAGAUCGAGAGCUCAAAAAGAGGCUCGUGGCUGGUUUUCAUUGGAACAGGGGCAGAGCGGGGCCAAACGCCAAGCAACACCAGGCAUCACAAGGCAAUAUAAGGUAACACAAGACAACAGGCAACACAAGACAACCAUCAGGAAACAGGCAACACAUGACAGCAUCAGGCAACAGGCAACAGGCAACACAAGACAAUAUAAGACGUUACUUCCUCGAGGGAAAGACAUGACGAAGUCACUGGUCAGUAGAUCAGCCCACAGAUUCUCAUGCUGAGUCGUGACGGGCGGACUAAAACCAGUUCAUCAUUUUUCCCCGACACCUUUGACACUUUGAGCUCGUAAACCUCCACAGACCAGUGAAGAAGAUAUCACCAGCGCAGACGACAUGGGGUCACUUUGUGAUCACAAACUGCUGACAGAAAAAAAACAAUCUACGUCCACCAGAUUUUCCUGCACGAGGUCGUUGAGAUAAACCUUGGAUUUGGGUCUUUAGUCAAAGCAACAUUGAGUUUUCCAUGAAGAGGAAACAAGAGGACGCAAUUCCCCCGUAACUGUGUCAUCACAUUCCUCAUGUUGGCGUAAAGAAGUUUAAUGAUGCAGGGAAACACUUACGUUAGCUUAGCUUAGCACAAAGAGUGGCAACGGGUGGAAACAGCUAGCCUGGUUCCGUUCUGCCUGAGGCCCCUAAACCUCGGUGAGAGUCGAGUUGUCCUGGUUUGAUGUGCUGUCAGUCCACAUUGUGGGUGAAACGUGCUCCGUCGUCUUGAACCUGACCUGGGGGCAGAUGUACAGUGGAAUAUUUGAGACCUGCGUCGAGAAACGUUAACAUCUGAUCACAUCUGGUGGACCAGGACCUGAAGGUCACCGGUUUGGGAAAAUCCCAGAGAUGGUCGGACAGAGUGAGAAGUUUGUGAAGCGAUUCGACCUUCGAACAAGCACUUCUGAAGAAUCUCGACGACAACAACAACAACAACAACAACAACAACAACAACAGUAGCCUGUCAGGGCGUACUCACGCCCCAGAGAAGAAAACUUGUUAUGAAUUAAGAUUAGAUAAGAUACAACACUUUAGUUACUGCGCUUAAGAGGAAGAGAUCUUUGGACAGAGCUAGGCUAGCAGUUUCCCCCCGCUUUCAGUCUUUAUGCUAAGCUAAGGUGUUUGCUGUUUAGUUUAAUACUUAUUGUACGUACAGUAUAUGAUUGUGAUAUUGAACUUCUCAUCCAACUCUC